GAUGAAGAACGCAGCGAACUGCGAUAAGUAAUGUGAAUUGCAGAAUUCAGUGAAUCAUCGAGUCUUUGAACGCACAUUGCGCCCCCUGGCAUUCCGGGGGGCAUGCCUGUCCGAGCGUCAUUACUGCCCUUCAAGCCCGGCUUGUGUGUUGGGUCGUCGUCCCCCCCGGGGGACGGGCCCGAAAGGCAGCGGCGGCACCGCGUCCGGUCCUCGAGCGUAUGGGGCUUUGUCACCCGCUCGAUUAGGGCCGGCCGGGCGCCAGCCGGCGUCUCCAACCUUCUAUUUUACCAGGUUGACCUCGGAUCAGGUAGGGAUACCCGCUGAACUUAAGCAUAUCAAUAAGCGGAGGA
rnacentral:misc_RNA from 1 species